AGGAGGCUGCACUGCAGGGAGUUAAUUGAGAUGAGCAGAGAUUCUCCAUGAACAUCCCAGUGAAGAGGAGGCUGUGGCUCUGCACCAGAAGAUUCAUACAGAAAAGGGACGUGAAUGCUCCAGCAGGUGAAGCUUGCUCCUGCUUAUUAUGAACAACUGGUUUUCCAAGGUCUGUAUCCUCCUGUGCUUGCUGACGUCUGUGCUUUCCCAGCAGCACACUAAAUGGUGUCACAGGAAGACUUUCUUCUACUGCCAGCUUGAAAAAAUGUGUCUGGAGAGAAUCCUGCACAGAGGGUUACAAAACUCUCCAGAAUCGGGCCCCAAGAACACUGGAUUUUAGUUUGCUGGUGUACCUAUUAACUUCCAAGUAUGGAAGGUGGUGCAUGUGCCAGAAAACCAAAGGAUGGGUUUUCUGAUUUCACAGAACCAAAAGAUGAUUUAUACUCCAGCAUCAUGUGCAGAGAGAUACAAUUGUACAAUGGGAAGCAAAACAUGGCACCUUGACUUUGGCAUUUUCCUGCAUCGAUAUACGUUUAUCUGAACACCAAAUUAUUUUCCCACCCUCCAAAGAAACUGAUUGUUUAUGCCCACGGACCCACAGCAUUUUGUAUUAGAAAGACAUUAACUUCUACUUUGAUCUAGUUAACUGACCAACCAAAUCAAUCAAAUGCUGCUGUUACAGUUUUAACUUCUUCAAAAUGAAUUAAAAAAAAAAAAAUCCAAUUUCCCAGACUACUUCUCCACAGAAAUACAUAUUGGAAUGCAAUUCUGGAACUCCUUCUCACAAGUAAAUCACAAUUGACUGAUAACUGUUCAUCCUCACAGUUCAGACCACACUCAAGGUUCCAAGUGUUACAGAAACCAAGAUAAGAAAAGAGCUUACUCAAACAUUUUGCUUCAUUUGCAUAACCUGAAUCUUUUAGAAAAUUAUGAUUUUUCCCCCCAUGGGAAAUGGAGUAGCUCACUGAUACUUAAAAAAAAUUUUGCAAACAGCACUUCUUGUUAAAAAAUAAGCAAAUACAGAUUACUGCCCCUUCAGCUAAGUGCCUGUGACUCCAGGUAAGGAUCUAGUGAGCAUUUUCAUGACAAAAGGGAAUUUCAAUAUGACAAAAUAACCAUCAGAAUUUUGAAUUGCCCUGCCCAUCUCAG